GGGAGCGCACACAAAGAGCAGGAGAUGAGGAAGGGGACAAGAUGACACAGGAGAGGUGACUGAUGCCGGGUGAGAAGGUGAAUGUGACAUAUACCCUCGUCAGCUGCAAGAAAGAAACCACGAGAGAGAGGGGACUGAUGCCCAGUGAGAAGGUGAACGGGACAUAUACCCUCGUCAGCUUGAAGAAAGGAACCACGAGACAGAUGACUGAUGCCCAGUGAGAAGGUGAACGUGACAUAUACCCUCGUCAGCUGGAGGAAAGGAACCACGAGACAGGGGACUGAUGCCCAGUGAGAAGGUGAACGGGACAUAUACCCUCGUCAGCUUGAAGAAAGGAACCACGAGACAGAUGACUGAUGCCCAGUGAGAAGGUGAACGUGACAUAUACCCUCGUCAGCUGGAGGAAAGGAACCACGAGACAGGGGACUGAUGCCCAGUGAGAAGGUGAACGGGACAUAUACCCUCGUCAGCUUGAAGAAAGGAACUACGAGACAGUUGACUGAUGCCUAGUGAGAAGGUGAACGGGACAUAUACCCUUGUCAGCUUGAAGAAAGGAACCACGAGACAGGUGACUGAUGCCCAGUGAGAAGGUGAACGGGACAUAUACCCUCGUCAGCUGGAAGAAAGAAACCACGAG